rnacentral:rRNA from 1 species
GACUGCCGGUGACAAACCGGAGGAAGGUGGGGAUGACGUCAAGUCCUCAUGGCCCUUAUGUCCUGGGCUACACACGUGCUACAAUGGCGCAUACAGAGUGCUGCAAGCUCGCGAGAGUUAGCGAAUCACUUAAAGUGCGUCGUAGUCCGGAUUGGAGUCUGCAACUCGACUCCAUGAAGUCGGAAUCGCUAGUAAUCGCGGAUCAGCACGCCGCGGUGAAUACGUUCCCGGGCCUUGUACACACCGCCCGUCACACCACGAAAGUCGGUAACACCUGAAGCCGGUGGGCCAACCUCUUGGAGGCAGCCGUCGAAGGUGGGACCGAUGAUUGGGGUGAAGUCGUAACAAGGUAGCCGUAUCGGAAGGUGCGGCUGGAU